rnacentral:lncRNA from 1 species
CUACUCUGCCUGUUGCAAGCCCCUCCCGGCCCAGGCUUGGGAGAGAGGUGUGCCCUACACUGCCGUGAGCCCCGAGUGGACCCAGACGGCCAGAGGGAGCAGCCCUCAGCCCAGACUCCACAGCGCAGCCCAGCCCGUCCCUGCAGCCACGAUCGGAGUGCUACUUGGCACACAGACCACAGUGAAAGUGGAGAAACUGAGGCCCCGCGGCAAAAAGUGUCUCGUCGAAGGUCACGAAGGCAGGAAAUAGCAGAUGCCAGAAGGGUCAUGGCAUUCAGAGAUGAAAGGAGUCCCUCGUGCCGGCACUCCCCCGCCCACCAGCCAUCGUGGCCAUCCUGGGCACGUGAGCACCACUGCGCCAGCCCAGCCUGGAGCCUGGUACUGCCGGCCUUGGCAGGCAGACAUUGCUGGUCAGGAAUGCAGAAUCGGCCUUUAAAUACCUCAGCAAUUUCA